AUGCGAGCACAGUUUACAGAACAGGAAGGAAGCCGCUGCCACAUUGCACAGCAGUGCAGUCGAGAAUUGUUGUGCGUGCGACAGCGACUUCCGUCCUUCUGCAAAAUACAAAUUCCCCGAG
rnacentral:pre_miRNA from 14 species